CUGCUCUGAGCUAAGUGUCUCACAAACAGGAAAGCCUCAUAAAUAUCAGCCUCAUGAAAAAACAACAGGGGGAUGAAGGUGAAAAGAAACAGCCCAAAUUUGCUGCUGUGGAUUUAAAAAUGCACCCAAGCAACAUACAAGCUGAUUGCACAUAAGGUGGGAGUGUACUAAGAAGUAAAGAAAGGAAGGAAGAAGACAGAAGAAAGGAGGGUGUUCAACUGUGUCUCCUUCUGCAGAUUUAGCAGGACAGUGGAGGAUCUGAUCUCCUCUUGAUGCUUUGGA